ACCUGGUGCGCGGCUCCGGACCUGGCGACCCACGACCGGCUGGUCACUUGCUGCCGCCUCGCAAAGGCGCAUCUCUAGUUCAGUGGCCAUGUGCUCCUUUCCACUUACCUGGCAGGGGGAGACCGUGGUCACGAAGGGGGUUCUCCCAGAGUGAAGCUUCUUCAUCGCACUCUAGAGUUGCUGAUCCCUGUGAUUUCCUCAGUGUGGGAAACGGUGUUUGUGCUAGAGAGGCUGUGCUCUUUACCUGACAUAAGGGGGUUCAAGACUGACAUCCCUCACGCCCACCCGAAAACGUUUACAUGGCUUCCUUGUCUCUUUUUUUUUCUGUCCUAAAGUCGCCUCAUCUUCACAUCCCCUCAUUUUUUCUUCCACACUCGAGAGUGUCUCUCUCUCUCAUUAAAAGCUCCAUCAAAUAUUUGAAAUAUCUCAA
rnacentral:lncRNA from 1 species